rnacentral:rRNA from 1 species
GUGUCAGCCGCCGCGGUAAUACGUAGGUGGCGAGCGUUAUCCGGAAUUACUGGGCGUAAAGCGCACGCAGGCGGCCUAUCAAGUCUGACGUGAAAGCUCCUGGCUUAACUGGGAGAGGUCGUUGGAAACUGAGGGGCUUGAGGCAAUGAGAGGGGUGUGGAAUUCCCGGUGUAGUGGUGGAAUGCGUAGAUAUCGGGGGGAACACCAGUGGCGAAAGCGGCACCCUGGCAUUGGCCUGACGCUCAUGUGCGAAAGCGUGGGGAGCGAACGGGAUUAGAAACCCUCGUAGUCC